UGCUCAUCCCCCGUGCUACUAAUUCGCUUUAAUUAGAAGGAAAAAAUACAUGCAAAAUCUGAACAGAAACCGUGGUCGCUGCUCCGAUUUUUCUGGCUGCGGCGGCGGCUCACAUGAAUAUGCGGCGGCGGCCAAGAGUAGCUCGGCCGGGACGCCCAUCUUCUCACCGGCCAAUGGCGCUGACGUGACUGACCAGUGACUAGGUUGUUUUUCGGCACGGUGCACUCACUUUAGUGGAGCCUUGUUCUUUUUCCGUUGAUAUUGAAUCCUGCUCCAAGUCUCUAACCGCAAGUAGCUGCUUUUGAAGUCCACCAAUCACAUGCGAGGUUAUGCCAGGAACCACCAGUCCACCACAGAUCUAGUAUGUGGGACGACAGGGUUGUAUCUCCUUGUACAGGUUGGCAACUCUUUCUCUUCUAAUGUUUAUAGGUUCAAUCGAACAUGAGGAUGCCUUCUAUUCCCAUAUGUGCCACAUGUAAAUAGGUCCAAAAUUCAGAUUUGGGGAUUUUUCUUCUGUUCACGGUUAGUGUGAAUUUAGUUCCAAAUUCUGGUAAACAAUUGGGGAUGCCAUCCGAUUGUAUUUAGGUGCACUUCAAUGAAUCAAUGCCAUCCGAUCUGUUUUGUACAUGCAGGGUGUGUGUCUUUGGAUACAUUACGUCGUCGUUGCCGCCGCCGCAGCCGUCCAUGUGCGGUGGAGCGGCCAUGGUGAAGUUUCAUGCAUGCGCGACGAGUGAUCCGACUCGCCCAAUCUCACCUGCAGCUGCAGUGUCGCAGCCCUCCCUCGGGUCUGCUCUCUCCCAAGUCUGCACACGCCAUGGAUAUAUGAUGUCAGAUUGAAGAACACAUGAUCAAUCACCAUGGAUCUCCUAGCUACCGAUGGUGCCUGUUUGAUCCACGCCCUAUAAUAUACUGCGUGCAUGCCAUUAAUUUGCUAGUACGUACACACGAGAAACAGUUGGUAGCUUCCUUUGCACCCAUAUAAUCAAGUCAUGUUUCUUAUUGAUGAUGAUGUAUAUAUUCCCUGCAAAAAUAAUGAUGAUGUAUAUGUACUCCUUCUGAUGCAUAUGAACUUAUGAACUUACUUUUCAU